AUGGGUCUCACGUGUGUAGGGUUCAUUUAUGUCCUUGUGAUGCUUUCAGCCCUGAGUACUGGCGGCUACGCUGGACACCUCCAGGGGGCUUAUGGAGCUCUUGGUGCUGGGCUGGAAUCAGCUGGGGGAAAAUACGGUGAGCAACUGGUUCUGUUAGUCAGGCUGAGUCAUAUUAGAACUAGUGGUUUAGAGCAGAGUUCGUUGACAGACCAGGCCACUGGAAGGGUCAUAACACCACGACCUAUGAAUCAGUCCAACCAUGGGCUUUGCUUCCCUGCAGGAGGAGGAGCUCUUCAGGUUCCUUAUGGCAGCGCUCCAGUGAUUCCCACCGGACUGGAGGGUGACGGCGGUUACCCGUACGCCUCCCAUCAGCUCAGUCUUGGUGCUGAAGGUGCAAAAACCGCCAGCAAAUACGGUUACGGGGCACAGCUAGGAGCAACUCAAGACGUUGUGGGAGAGCAGGCUGGGAAAUAUGGUGGUGUGAAUGGAGCCCUUGGGAAUGGUUACAAAGGCUAAGUCUGAAGUGGAUGGUUUCCAUAAUGUGUUGAGUUCAGUAAGGUGUGAGUCAAUACUUUGGUGUGGCCUGGUCGUCUGUCUUUGUGUUAUAGUACCCGUCCUCCUCUGACAGUGGGCCUUCGCUCGGCCCAGAAGACCUUACGCUUAAACAAUAAGUCAGCAUAAGAGAACUAAUUACUGGAUUUAUGCAAUAAAUUAUGUCAAAUGAUGCUGAACGCUUCUGAG
rnacentral:lncRNA from 1 species